rnacentral:rRNA from 2 species
UACGGAGGGUGCAAGCGUUAUCCGGAUUUACUGGGUUUAAAGGGUGCGUAGGCGGGUAGGUAAGUCAGUGGUGAAAUCUUCGGGCUUAACUCGGAAAUUGCCGUUGAUACUAUCUAUCUUGAAUAUCGUUGAGGUUUGCGGAAUAUGUCAUGUAGCGGUGAAAUGCUUAGAGAUGACAUAGAACACCUAUUGCGAAGGCAGCAGGCUAAACGAACAUUGACGCUGAGGCACGAAAGCGUGGGGAUCAAACAGG